ACGAGUUCGUGCCCUCGCGGGUAGAUCUCCCACCCUGUGUUAUCGUUACCUUCGUUGCUUUGGCGGGCCGCCCGGCCCCGGUCAGGCUACCGGCUCACGCUGGUAAGCGCCCGCCAGAGGACCCAAAACUCUGAAUGUUAGUGUCGUCUGAGUACUAUAUAAUAGUUA
rnacentral:misc_RNA from 1 species